rnacentral:rRNA from 1 species
GACGAACGCUGGCGGCGUGCCUAAUACAUGCAAGUCGAGCGGACGGAUGGGAGCUUGCUCCCAGACCGUCAGCGGCGGACGGGUGAGUAACACGUGGGCAACCUGCCUGUAAGACUGGGAUAACUCCGGGAAACCGGGGCUAAUACCGGAUAACUCUUUCCCUCACAUGAGGGAAAGCUGAAAGAUGGCAUCUCGCUAUCACUUACAGAUGGGCCCGCGGCGCAUUAGCUAGUUGGUGAGGUAACGGCUCACCAAGGCGACGAUGCGUAGCCGACCUGAGAGGGUGAUCGGCCACACUGUGACUGAGACACGGCCCAGACUCCUACGGGAGGCAGCAGUAGGGAAUCUUCCGCAAUGGACGAAAGUCUGACGGAGCAACGCCGCGUGAGUGAUGAAGGUUUUCGGAUCGUAAAACUCUGUUGUCAGGGAAGAACAAGUACCGGAGUAACUGCCGGUACCUUGACGGUACCUGACCAGAAAGCCACGGCUAACUACGUG